AUUAUUUUACGAGAAUCAUCCAGACAUUAGUUACAUGCAUACGUUGCCAGUAUGUCAAAACUUCUAGGAAUAUUUUUUUAUCGGCCUGACCUUCUGAAUACUCAAUUUUUUAAAAUUUUGAAAAAUUGGCAUUAAAAUUCGAAGGAUCAAAUCAUAGGAAACAUGUGUAUUAAGUUUUAAGUUGAUAGGACUUCAACUUCAUCAAAAAUUACCUUGACAAAAAACUUUAACCUGAACUAGGACAGACGGACGAACGAACGAACGGCCGCACAGACCAGAAAACAUAAUUGGACAUAAAAAUAACUUUCACCUAUCUACCUGUACACAAUCGGCGCAAAUGAAAAACAAAAUGAAAAUAAAAAAAAAAUGAAAUGCAUAUUGGCGGAAAUACAAGACAAAAUCUACGCAUGUGAAAGAAUAAAAAAAAAAUGAAAUGCAGUUCGGCGCAAAAAAGUAGUGAUCAAAAGUUAUAUUUUAUUGUUUUUAUUAGAACGAAGGUUAGAUUCAUAACAAACCGGA
rnacentral:lncRNA from 1 species